rnacentral:lncRNA from 1 species
UGUAGGUUGACAAUAACUAGAGAUUCAGUUUCACUUCACCCACAAUUGUUAAGUGUUUUACAACCCAUGGAGCAACUAAUUGUAAACAAUUACUGCACCUUGGGCAAUGAAUUUCUACCAUUUUGCAAUAUUCAGGGGAAAUCUGAUGAACCUUUUUGACCCUCUUAGUGCAAUAACCCGUUUCUGCUGAUCUAGUGUAAGGUGACAAUCCUUCUCGUUAAGGUUAUAAAUCCUCUGGUCUUUGCAGGAUUUCCAAAUCUUCCAUGCAGCUCCGUAAAUUUUGAAAAUAGUCAUUUACGAUGAAUCGGUUCAGUUUCUGUGCUUUGCCUGGAUCCAAAUUUUGUGCUUUUCUUGGAGGAAUCUCAGGCUGUCGUCGAAGGAAUCCGGAUAACUAUUUUCUUCCAGCCAUUUUGGAUGCUUUAUUAAAAUUGUUUGCAAUAUGGUUUUCUUCAGCGUACGAUUAUACACUUCUCUUGACAAUUUUCGGUGUUAUCGGCUUCCCAAUUAAGGCUAGGCGUUUGACACGUGCGCAGAGUUCAUCUUCUUGGCCUGAGGUCAGUUCGUAGGUCUGUCAAGUCGUUUCUUCGUGUGAACAUCAGCAUAUAUCACGUGGCCAUAUUAGAAACCAAUCGCCAUAUACAGAAAAGUAAAGAGUUAGGCCUAACCGACCAGAGGAGUAAAAGAUUGAUCUCUCAUUUCAAAGCCAUAAUAACCUCUCUCUUGAAUAAUCUUAUAAAAAGAGUUGGCGUUCAUUAAGUUUAUUAAUAAUAAUAAUCAAAAUCCUAGCUUGCACAUUUAACAUUCUCCAGAAAAAAUGUUUCCGUAGUUUUAUGUCAGGCAAAUAUGUGUAUAUCUCCUUCUCCAGCAAGAACAGAUCGUCUAUGGCAAAAGCUACGAAUAGAGAUUGCUAUCUUUUAACAAUGAUUUGAAUUUUAGCUAAAAUACCGUAUUAGGAACGUGGCCAUAUUUCGUACACUUACCUGAUAAAAUUUG